CUAUCACUCUGGUAGGAACUGGCGCGCAGUUUUGGCAGGCACGAGGCGGGGUUACAUUGUUCUGAGCCGAAUCCGGCUUGAAGGUUUUCAAAGUAAAAAACUGGGGACAAAGUGAAUGUUAAAAUUCCCAAGAAACAUAUCACAUCAUUGGCUAAAACUCAUGACCUCAAGAUCAAGACCUCAGUCCCCCCACACC